GGUCAUGCUCCAAGUGGUGUUUCUCGAGAACACAUAACCGAUGUAUCCGAAGACGCAGGCAAUGGUGAGGAAUCGAAACAGCUUCAUCAGGCCCAUGGAACAGGUCUGCAAAUGGAAUGGAAGCCAAAAUGAUUCAGGGACGCGGUUGAAGGUCAGUUGCCCUUAACAUGGGAACGUAGGCACUGUACCGGUUGGCUUCAUUUCUUUCUGCCCUGUCAUUAAUCUUUAUUGGGUUGAGAGAGUCCAAUUGCAUUCCUACGUAGCAAUUUGGAUGUCGUUAGCAGUACCUGAGAGAUUAUCUUUGGAUGAAGACACUCAAAGU